AAUCAUCCGGCAGUCGAGACGAGAUUCUAUUAUUGGGUCACUGCCAUUUUAAAUAUUCGACGUGUAGAAAUAUUAAUUUACAAAAAAAAUUCGCUCCGUUUCGUCGGUUGUUACGCUAAAAUAUUUUCCUGGAACGAGAUUCCUCUUCUAAAUCUAACCCAAUAAACUUAAUAGAAAAAGUUAUUCGAAUCGACCAAUCAACGUCGAGGUUACAAUUACGUUACGGUUAAUUCCGGCAAUGGAAUCUAAUAUCGGUCAUUCUUAUUGGUUUAAAAAUUUUUACGCUUCGGAAAAUUUUUCAUAUCGGAAAGUUUACUGGGUCGUCUUAGACCCACGAACUAGUUUAACGUUUCUAUUUUUACAACGUUCUUUGAGUGAGUUUCCAUUUUCGGUUGAACGAUUAUUCUGUGAAGUUCCGAUGAGCAAAAUCUCUGGUUAUGAGGUGAAAGAAUGGAUUCUUUUCUAUGUUAAAUACAAAAAAAAAAGAUAUAAUGGUAGUUCGUCCAUACGAAAUGAUCGAGUGAUCAAUCGGUUCAACGAUCGAAUCGCCAUUUAAAUCACAUUAACAAUGAGUAAAAUAAUCUUAAUAAAUGUAUAUAGUAUUUAACCUUGACUGUGUGGAGAUGGAAUUUAAAAUUAGCAUAGUUUAAUACAGAAGGAAUUCCUGUGUAAAAAGGAAAUAGGAAUGUAUCGAUAUAAAGCAAUAGGAAUGAAAUAAACGAUGGGAAAAGAUGCGGAACAAAGCGAGUCGCGAUGAACUUUUCUAUGGCCAUAGGAGGAGAUGGGAGCUCGGGAACCUCCAGGAGUAGAGAGGGAGGGAGUCUGUAUUCCGAAAAUAACUCAACGUUCCCAAAAUUAACUCGCGCACAUCCGACAGACCUAGUUGUAUGGAAGUUGUGGCGUGCCUUUCAGUCAGGCUGUAACGCUACACCUCUGCAUGACCGGGAGAUGCUGGAGCAGUCAGACAUUUCAUAUUAGGCGAUGGUUGGAGUAGCGAGACUGAAAUAGUGCGGGGAGCCGACUCGACGACCAACCGAGGGGGCCACCGUUCUAUCUCCCUAUAAGGAAUUGUGUGGAAUGGGGAAGAGGGACCUUAGCCAUAUUAGCCUACGCAAAUUCUCAUUGGUUAAUAGAAUUGGCUGACGUCAACCGCAGCCCGCAGUUCCUACAAAACCACAAGGCACUAGGUAUCGUCCGUUACUCGAGGUCCCCGAACCAACAGAGGUUUAAGUGCUUGCAAGGGAAGACUCACCUACCCAAUUGGUAAUUUUCUUAUACUCGUGUGUGUGUGCCUGUGACAAGAGAACGGACUUAUUCUAAAGGAUUUUUUUUCUAUCUCUUGUUCUUCUCAACAGAUA